rnacentral:lncRNA from 1 species
UCGAUGCGACUCGGAUGACUAAUUCAAAUUUUAUUGGACCAUCCCAUAGGAUUGGUUUUAUUUUUUCCUGUGACAGUAUGGAUUAACAUUAAAAGCCCACUCUUAAGCGUGCUUGUGUAGGCGAAAGCGCAAAGCUAUGUCUUAGAAAAAGUCCUUGCCUAAUAAAACCAUGAGAUGCGAUUAAAUCUGAUAAAAUAAACUUUAGUUGAAAAGUACGCCACAUUCGAAAAUCACAAAAGAACCUGUCACCUUAUA